AAUAUUGGACAAUGGGGGCAACCCUGAUCCAGCCAUGCCGCGUGUGUGAAGACGGUCGUCGGACUGUAAAUCACUUUAAGCUGGGAGGAAGGGCUUUAGGUUAAUACGCUGAUGUUUUGACGUUACCAACAGAAUAAGUACCGGCUAACUCUGUGCCAUCAGCCGCGGUAAUACCGAGGGUGCAAGCGUUAAUUGGAAUUACUGGGCGUAACGCGCGCGUAGGUGGUUCAGUAAGAUGGGUGUGAAAUCCCCGGGCUUAACCUGGGAACUGCUUUCAUAACUUCUGAGCUAGAGUACGGUAGAGGGUAGUGGAAUUUCCUGUGUAGCGGUGAAAUGCGUAGAUAUAGGAAGGAACACCAGUGGCGAAGACGACUACCUGGACUGAUACUGACACUGAGGUGCGAAAGCGUGGGGAGCAAAC
rnacentral:rRNA from 1 species